UUUCAAAGUUGUAGACUUAAAUGCUUAAUAGAAAAAUAUUAAAAAAAAAACAUUUUAAAUACAAGAAAAAAGUAAACUAGACACGAUUUAUAUUGAACAUAUAUUGCUUGUUUACUUUCCAUGUUUUUUUCUUAGGGCCAUAACUGCAACUUUAAGCGAACACCUAAAAAAACAAUUAAUGUGACACAUAACGGACACCUUAAUAUACAUACAUACAUUUUUUAAGCAUUAUCAAAUUGAGGUUAUGCACACAAAAAGAGCACAACAUCACAAAAACUGAAAAAAAACACAUACACAUAUGUAUAAAUAUAAUAUAUAAGCGUAAACGCGCAUAAUCAAAUAGGCAUGCGUACGAAAAUAAAUAAAUAAUUAAAAGAAAAAAAGAGAAAGAAAAAAGUGCGCGUCAAAAAUCAAAACCUAACUGACAGAUAUCAAAAUGAACAAAAAACACAAAACAAAAUCACAAGUAUUUGCUAUAAAUAAAUAAAACAAAAAAAAAUUUACAUAAAUUAUACGAUUGAACAUUUUUACUACCAUUUACUACUAAAUAAAAAGCAAAAGUUUAUAGAACAAUAUGAAAAUCGAUUUAAGUAUGUAUAUGAAAUAAUAAAAUGCGCAAGGAACCAUUGUUAAAUGAAUAAAUGCAAAAUGUAUAAUUAUUCACAUUUGCGUACUUAUACAUUAGUUUAACAAAUCACUUAAUUCUUACCCCGUCAUUGUUAUAUUUUAAUUAAAACGUAACGAAAAUAAGUUUGAGCUGCAGUAAAUAUGUAUUUAAGCUAGAAAAUUUUCAAACAUGAAGCGCGUGAUAUCAAUAAAAUUCUAAAAUAAACAAAUAUUCACUUCGUACUCACAUUA